rnacentral:tRNA from 1 species
GAAGUGAGAUGCUCUAUAUAAAGCUGCUAACUUUUUUAUACAAUGGUUAAAUUCCAUUUUCACUUCU